UGCCCAGCAACUCCUAUCCCUACCUCCUCGCGGUACCGGCCGGAAACUACACGCAAAACAAGGAAAG
rnacentral:ribozyme from 1 species